CAGUCGCCGCGGUAAUACGGAGGGUGCGAGCGUUAAUCGGAAUAACUGGGCGUAAAGGGCACGCAGGCGGUGACUUAAGUGAGGUGUGAGAGCCCCGGGCUUAACCUGGGAAUUGCAUUUCAUACUGGGUCGCUAGAGUACUUUAGGGAGGGGUAGAAUUCCACGUGUAGCGGUGAAAUGCGUAGAGAUGUGGAGGAAUACCGAAGGCGAAGGCAGCCCCUUGGGAAUGUACUGACGCUCAUGUGCGAAAGCGUGGGGAGCAAACAGGAUUAGAUACCCCCGUAGUCCCUGUCUCUUAUAC
rnacentral:rRNA from 1 species